AAACGACUCUCGGCAACGGAUAUCUCGGCUCACGCAUCGAUGAAGAACGUAGCAAAAUGCGAUACUUGGUGUGAAUUGCAGAAUCCCGUGAACCAUCGAGUUUUUGAACGCAAGUUGCGCCCGAAGCCAUCCGGUUGAGGGCACGCCUGCCUGGGCGUCAUG
rnacentral:rRNA from 1 species